rnacentral:rRNA from 1 species
CUACGGGGCGCUGCAGUGAGGAAUAUUGCACAAUGGGGGGAACCCUGAUGCAGCAACGCCGCGUGGAGGAUGACGCAUUUCGGUGUGUAAACUCCUUUUAUAUGUCAAGAAAAUGACGGUAGCAUAUGAAUAAGCACCGGCUGACUCCGUGCCAGCAGCCGCGGUAAUACGGAGGGUGCAAGCGUUACUCGGAAUCACUGGGCGUAAAGGACGCGUAGGCGGGUUGGAAAGUCAGGUGUGAAAUCCUACAGCCUAACUGUAGAACUGCACUUGAAACUUCUAAUCUAGAGUGUGGGAGGGGGAGAUGGAAUUAGUGGUGUAGGGGUAAAAUCCGUAGAUAUCACUAGGAAUACCUAAAGCGAAGGCGAUCUCCUGGAACAUUACUGACGCUAAGGCGUGAAAGCGUGGGGAGCAAACAGGAUUAGAUACCCCAGUAGUC